rnacentral:lncRNA from 1 species
UAACACCUAGCUUGCUAAACAAACUGGAGAAACUCCAACUUGCCAAACAGAUUGGCGAACUCCAGCUCACCAAACAGACUGGAGAACUUGGCUUUCAAUGAAUCUGGCAAACCCCCUUACCGCAACUUUUUGGCAUUUAUUGCAACACUGAAACACUAGCGAACUCCUUAUCGAUACUUUUUUAGCAAACUCCCUAGUUCGCCGAAGCACUAACGAACUCUCACUUGCAAGGCUAAAACUUCUAGACCCGAUCUCGGGAUGUUACACAAAUAACAAACAAUAAAGAAUCCAACACAUUCAAAGAACAAAUAACAAACAAAGAACUCAAAAUCUUAAAAAAACAAAAACAAAAAAAAACCCAAUAUAUUCUCAAAUUCAAUCUCAGCAACAAACAAAUAACCUAACAUUUUCAACCCAAAACCAUUUCAAUUAGAAAAAAAUAACAACUUAAUAUGAUAACAAAAACCCAAAAUAAGAGCAAGAACCUAAAAAGUUAAAAGAAUUUAAAAUUAUUUGAAAAUAAGAAAUUUACAACCUAGAAAGAGAGCAAUAACUCAAAAAAAACUACAAUAAUUUAGAAGACCCUAAAAAUCCUAUGGAUCUAAUGAACAAUAAGGACAAUUCCUCUAUUUAAUUUGUUAACCUGUGACCUGAAAAACUUCUACUAGGCUCCGAGAAAACCAAUUCUUUGUUGUUGCAUUGGCAACGACGCUGCUAUUGCUUCAUUUAACUCCUCAACUUGCUCUCAACCUCAUUAGAAGCCUCCUUUGCCUUUCAUCAACAAGCGAAGAGUAUAGUUUAGAAAACUCAAGGAUCAAACAUUGAUUUUUUUUUUGGCUUUAAAGAGAUUUUCUUGAAAAUACAAGGCAAAAUUUGAGAAGACGAGGAAAAGAGAAGUGUUUUGAUGGUCGAAUUUGUCGGAAAGGCCAUUGAUGGUGGCGACUCAUGGUGACAGCAACUAGGGUUAGAAGAGGAGGAAUAAGGAGAGGAAGAAGAGAAGAUAGAAAGGAGGAGAAACGGAAAAAAAAAGAAUGGAAUCGUGAUGAAGAAAAGAGGAACAAGAGAUGAAGAAGACAGUGUGAUAGCCAAGGUAAGAAAAAAAAUGAAAAAAAAUGAAAAAAAAAAGGAAAAAUGAAAAAGAAAAAGAAAAAGAAAAAGAAAAAAAA